GAAUCAAGUGAUGAUUAAAAAUACUGCAACAAAAUGAUAGAUUUGAUUGUAUGAUUGCUGGUAUUUAAGUUGCUGAUGAUU